UAGUAAUAUAAGACCCAUGAUUACUUUAUCUAUUUCUGUCACAUGAAAACGAUGGGAAAGAAAGGAGAAAACACAUAAAUCAGGCUGAUUUUUUUUGAGAUGAAGUAAGCAGUUACUUUUGCUAUUAUUAUUUUCUUGUGCCUUUUUCAGACAGGAAGAUCAUGGGGUGAAUGCCACUGGCUUCAGCAGAGUAAAUCCUGCAUAUACUGUGGUAAGGCUAAUCCCGUAAAUCACAUAUUCACUAAAGAAUGGGAAUGCCUUAACAAAAUCAGUGAUUUCCAGCCUUUGCAAGCCAGGAGGAAAACAACUAAGCAAGGGUCUUUCUGUCCACUUGUCAGAAAGCAUUCAUCAGAGAACUCCCACCAGAGACCAGAUCUAGCAACUGUCCAGGACAGCUGCAGAAAAAUGAAGAAGCAACUGAAUUUUGCAGGCCAGGUUAUGGUCUCCACGUCAGCAACAUAAAUCCUGAAAAUUGUUUCAACUGUUAAUACUUAGCGGUUUCAUAAGCUCUAUGCCUUCCAGAACUGCUGAGUCCUCUGAGCAUGCACUCCACUGGUCAGGAAAGCCCAUGAGGCACUUGCUUCUCCUCUGAUUGCAGCAGUUCUAUUUCAGUAACUAGAGAUCGGUCAUCAAAAUCUCUUGAAUGUGCAGGUUCCUAGAUGUGCCUUGAUAAGUAAAGCAAAGUAACAGUGAUGAUGCCUCCCACAUGCCAGUUUUACUCCCAGUCAGCUCCAUCAAUUUUAUGGAGGGAAUGUGGAUAGAAGAAGCCUUCAGCACUGUGCAAAAAACAGUUAAUAACGUUUGUAGGUUUUUUCAUAAUUAAACAAGUUAAUUUAGUUUAAAAUGUACCAAACAUUUUUCAGCACUAAUUUGUUUAUGUCAAUUCAAUUUUAAAAGUCUCUGUUAGAAACAACAGCUAAAUCAAGUGUCUUUCAAUUAUGGAAGGCUCUAAUUUAUCUGCAGUUUAAUGUGCCUAGAUAUUAUUAGCUUCACUUACGCUAAUAAUAUCUAGGCACAUAGUCCUAUGUGAAAACUCAUUGUUGGGCACUUGUCAUAUCUUCUCUUCCACCUCUGUAUCAGACCAGGUACAAUGCAAGUUGAGGGUUUUAUGUGUGAGUUCAAAAAAGGUGCUUCUCCUUUAAUUUCAUUUUUUUUAAUGUGAGUUUUGGACCUUUUUAGACCAGAAAAGAACAUCAGAAAAUACCUCUUGUAAACAAGAAGUGGUUAAGUAUUUUGCUUGGAGACAGAGUUCCUAUGUCUUUGGGAACAAUGUUACUUGAAACGUUUGUUAUCUCUUCCUCUUUUAAACAGUUAAAUAAAGAGACCUUAAGCCAAAGGUUCA
rnacentral:lncRNA from 1 species